ACCUUCGUAGUUCAGUUGGGGUAGAACACCGGCGAACGCAGCCGGAGGUCGGGAGUUGGACUCUCCCCGAAGGUG
rnacentral:tRNA from 1 species